AGUUGCAUUGCUGGGUCAUAUAGGUUCACCAUGUUUAAUUUUGAAGAACUGUAAUACUUUUCCAAAGUGGCUGUACCAUUUCCCGUUCCCAUCAGCAAU
rnacentral:pre_miRNA from 1 species